rnacentral:lncRNA from 1 species
GACAUGAUAUUCUGUAAUGGCUCCUUGCAGUUGUUGCGGUCCCUGGAGAAACAUAUUCAGAACUCCCUCACUCCUGGAGCACUGCCACUUACUGUACUUGUAUAGCAGUAUACCAUAGUGGCAUUUUCCCUAAAAAUCUUCACCGGCUCACGGACAUCUUAGCACCAAGACUGCUUGAAUUAAAAAAACAGGACAAAAGGGCAGCUGCUGAAACAUUUGGCUGUGCCGAGGGGUAGUGGGCUCAACAUGCCUGGGUUCUGCACACGACCAGCUUGAGUUUGUAUCUACAGCUACAGGACAGAACUUUAUGGAAACACUUUGCCAAGCCAUGUGGCGCUCUGCUCUCCUUUGCACCAGUACCCUUUUAAUUAUCUGAUUCAGGGAGGAGGACGUUCUGGAAAAGUGUUGAUGGCAUAACAGAAACCUAGAAAUCUGUAUGCAAACAGGUUUUUAAAAAGUGAGUUUAUAAGGCAAUUAUUUUUUACUGCAUUGAUUUAAGUGCUGCAAUUGGCCAGCAAAUCUAACACACUCCAAGUAAAUAUGACCAAUAUAAUUAGGCAUUUAUAAACAGAAGCACAAUAAUACCUAGUA